AUCAACAAAGGAAAAACAAAAGAACUCGUGGUGGACUUCUGCAGGUCCAAACACUCUCCUUCUGUGCCAGUGAACAUUCAGGGAAUGGACAUUGAGAUCAUGAGGUCCUACAAGUACCUGGGUGUUCACCUUAACAACAAGUUCGACUGGACUGACCACACAGCUGCCCUCUACAAGAAAGGACUGAGCAGACUACAUCUCCUGAGGAGACUCAGGAUCUUCUUCGAUGGCAUCAGCCAUCUUUUACGGAGUUGGUUUGUUGGGGCUGCAGCAUCUCCACUGCUGACAGGAAGAGACUGAACAAGAUCCUCAGGAAAUCCAACUCUGUCCUGGGAUGUCAUGUCGACCCGGUGGAGGUGGUGGCAGACAGGAGAAUGAGGACUGAGCUUGCUGGAGUACCUGUCCCACCCCAUGCACCACUCUCUGACAGCACUAAGCAGCUCCUCUAGUGCCCAGCUGCGGCACCCAAAGUAUGUGAAGGAAAGAUACCGCAGGUCUUUCCUUCCGGCCGCUGUCCGACUGUACAACACUGCCUUCUAUUCAGGGUUUGUUAUGCCGUUAGUCCGUCUGUCUCCAUGUUCAGAAGAAGGUUGUGUUCCAACUCAGUUGCUUUAAUCUUCUUGUGUGCCGUCUUCUUGGUCUUUAUGUUACUUUUUGUUCUCUAAUUAUGUCACUUCCUAAGRAAAAUGGUUGCACCAAAUUUAUUUUUAUUCAACCUUAAAUAAAGCUUAAAUUUWUUUUAUGAAAUAAAAAAUGGGGGUAUUAAAAUACAGGGGUCUGAAUAAGAUACAGCUCUAAGAUUUUUUAUUAGUAAAUGAUGCUGAAAACUAUGGACAAUGUUCAUCCUACUUCAGAGUCCUGAGCUUAUUAGUUAGUCUAUCACAUAAGAYGUCAAUAACAAAACAUAAGGGGUGCAAAUUCUUCAGUAAAGCACUGUACAA